GGGCCUAUAGCUCAGCGGUAGAGCAGCCGGCUCAUAACCGGCUGGUCCCUGGUUCAAUCCCAGGUGGGCCCACCA
rnacentral:tRNA from 1 species